rnacentral:rRNA from 1 species
CCUACGGGUGGCAGCAGUGAGGAAUAUUGGUCAAUGGACGAGAGUCUGAACCAGCCAAGUAGCGUGAAGGAUGACUGCCCUAUGGGUUGUAACCUUCUUUUAUAUGGGAAUAAAAUGUUCCACGUGUGGGAUUUUGUAUGUACCAUAUGAAUAAGGAUCGGCUAGCUCCGUGCCAGCAGCCGCGGUAAUACGGUGGAUCCGAGCGUUAUCCGGAUUUAUUGGGUUUAAAGGGAGCGUAGGUGGAAUGUUAAGUCAGUUGUGAAAGUCUGCGGCGCAACCGUAAAAUUGCAGUUGAAACUGGCAGUCUGGAGGACAGUAGAGGUGAGCGGAAGUCGUGGUGUAGGGGUGAAAUGCUUAGAUAUCACGAAGAACACCGAUUGCGAAGGCAGCUCACUGGAAUGCAACUGACACUGAGGCUCGAAAGUGUGGGUAUCAAACAGGAUUAGAUACCCGAGUAGUC